GUCUGUUUUCAAAGGGCAGAAGUCUCAGCACAUAGAACCAUUUGAUCCACCAGCUGUAAUCACCCACCAACAUUGCGACCAGUUCUUCAUUCUACCAGGGCACUGAAAAAAAAAGCAAAGAUCAUAAUUGUUUCCGCGUUAAAUGGAAAUACGCGCUCUCCCGUCCAAAGGGAUCUUGGCUAAACGUUCAGCCGGGGUGGCACCAGGUGGCAACAGGUGCCCCCCUCCCCCGACCUUCCCCGACCCCCCCUCUCUUCCCCACAGCUCCACUCGUCCCGCGGUGAGCCGCAUAGCUGAACUGCUUUCUGCGUUUCUGCUUGGCGGCCAGCGCGAGUUGCUUUGUGUCCCGGGCCGGGAGGGAACGUAUCGGGAGGAGCGGGGAGCUCCACGGCGUGCCAACCGAAUGCCGAGCUACACAGGAAAGAAAAACCUUCUUUGUGAUGUAUUUCAUCUCCGCGGCCACAGACGGGUUGUGGAGUCGGCAGUUGAUCGAUUUGUUUCCCCUAAAGAUCCUCGGUUGAGUGGGAUUGGUGACAAAGCCUUGGUUCUGUUUAUAUGGGCCCCCGGUGACCUGAGGGUAUUUGAGCUGCCCUUCGGGGGCCAGUGAUCAGAAUGCUCUGUGUUAUGACCACGAGCACCAUGGAAGGGGUUAAGACUCGGUCGGUCUGCGAGGCCUUCAACACACUGGAGGAUCUGCCGUUCCCUCUGCGAGGAUCACAAACCGACAACCUGCCACCCCUCAGUGGCCAAUGAAAAGUACCAAUCGAUCGUUACCUGAAGCCAAACGUUCAAUCGAGACCAAUCCGGUCUGUAGAGGUCGUAUCUUCUGUGCUCACGUGGGCUAUUCUUUUCUUCACCUUUUCUAUCAAUAUAGAAUUUUUUCCCUCUCUAACCUGCCGUCUCCUGCACAUUUUCACUGUGUUUUUGGUUUACAAGAAAUCUUAACUUAAAUAUUUUAUAAAGUUCAGUUCGGAGCAUCGAAAUGUUACUUCAUACACAGCUUGCGUCUAUGAGUUUAGGUGAAUGGCUGAUUCAAGGUAGC
ensembl:lncRNA